UGGGGAAUUUUGGACAAUGGGCGCAAGCCUGAUCCAGCAAUGCCGCGUGCAGGAUGAAGGCCUUCGGGUUGUAAACUGCUUUUGUAUGGAACGAAACGGCUCUGGUUAAUACCUGGGCUAAUGACGGUACCGUAAGAAUAAGCACCGGCUAACUACGUGCCAGCAGCCGCGGUAAUACGUAGGGUGCGAGCGUUAAUCGGAAUUACUGGGCGUAAAGCGUGCGCAGGCGGUGAUGUAAGACAGAUGUGAAAUCCCCGGGCUCAACCUGGGACCUGCAUUUGUGACUGUAUAGCUAGAGUACGGUAGAGGGGGAUGGAAUUCCGCGUGUAGCAGUGAAAUGCGUAGAUAUGCGGAGGAACACCGAUGGCGAAGGCAAUCCCCUGGACCUGUACUGACGCUCAUGCACGAAAGCGUGGGGAGCAAACA
rnacentral:rRNA from 1 species